rnacentral:rRNA from 1 species
GAUGAACGCUGGCGGCGUGCCUAAUACAUGCAAGUCGAGCGAACGGACGAGAAGCUUGCUUCUCUGAUGUUAGCGGCGGACGGGUGAGUAACACGUGGAUAACCUACCUAUAAUACUGGGAUAACUUCGGGAAACCGGAGCUAAUACCGGAUAAUAUUUUGAACCGCAUGGUUCAAAAGUGAAAGACGGUCUUGCUGUCACUUAUAGAUGGAUCCGCGCUGCAUUAGCUAGUUGGUAAGGUAACGGCUUACCAAGGCAACGAUGCAUAGCCGACCUGAGAGGGUGAUCGGCCACACUGGAACUGAGAAACGGUCCAGACUCCUAGGGGAGGCAGAGGUAGGGAAUCUUCCGAAAUGGGCGAAAGCCUGCCGGAGCAACGCGGCGUGAGUGAUGAAGGUCUUCGGAUCGUAAAACUCUGUUAUUAGGGAAGAACAUAUGUGUAAGUACUGUGCACAUCUUGACGGUACCUAAUCAGAAAGCCACGGCUAACUACGUG